rnacentral:rRNA from 1 species
UUCGAAACUGGCAGGCUAGAGUCUUGUAGAGGGGGGUAGAAUUCCAGGUGUAGCGGUGAAAUGCGUAGAGAUCUGGAGGAAUACCGGUGGCGAAGGCGGCCCCCUGGACAAAGACUGACGCUCAGGUGCGAAAGCGUGGGGAGCAAACAGGAUUAGAUACCCUGGUAGUCCACGCCGUAAACGAUGUCGACUUGGAGGUUGUGCCCUUGAGGCGUGGCUUCCGGAGCUAACGCGUUAAGUCGACCGCCUGGGGAGUACGGCCGCAAGGUUAAAACUCAAAUGAAUUGACGGGGGCCCGCACAAGCGGUGGAGCAUGUGGUUUAAUUCGAUGCAACGCGAAGAACCUUACCUACUCUUGACAUCCAGAGAACUUAGCAGAGAUGCUUUGGUGCCUUCGGGAACUCUGAGACAGGUGCUGCAUGGCUGUCGUCAGCUCGUGUUGUGAAAUGUUGGGUUAAGUCCCGCAACGAGCGCAAC